rnacentral:rRNA from 1 species
GGGUGUCGAAGCAAACGCGAUAAGUAGGCCGCCUGGGGAGUACGGCCGCAAGGUUAAAACUCAAAGGAAUUGACGGGGACCCGCACAAGCGGUGGAUGAUGUGGAUUAAUUCGAUGCAACGCGAAAAACCUUACCUACCCUUGACAUGUCCGGAACCCUGGUGAGAGCUGGGGGUGCCCGAAAGGGAGCCGGAACACAGGUGCUGCAUGGCUGUCGUCAGCUCGUGUCGUGAGAUGUUGGGUUAAGUCCCGCAACGAGCGCAACCCUUGCCGCUAAUUGCCAUCAUUCAGUUGGGCACUUUAGUGGGACUGCCGGCGACAAACCGGAGGAAGGUGGGGAUGACGUCAAGUCCCCAUGGCCCUUAUGGGUAGGGCUUCACACGUCAUACAAUGGCGCAUACAGAGGGCUGCGAAGGGGCGACCCGGAGCCAAUCCCAGAAAGUGCGUCGUAGUCCGGAUUGCAGUCUGCAACUCGACUGCAUGAAGUCGGAAUCGCUAGUAAUCGCGGAUCAGCAUGUCGCGGUGAAUACGUUCCCGGGUCUUGUACACACCGCCCGUCACACCAUGGGAGUGGGGUUCACCAGAAGGCGUUAGCCUAACNNNNNNGAGGGCGACGACCACGGUGAGCUUCAUGACGGGGGUGAAGUCGUAACAAGGUAGCCGUAUCGGAAGGUGCGGCUGGAUCACCUCCUU